rnacentral:lncRNA from 1 species
UGAGACGUGUAACACCACUCUCACAUUAUGUGGUGUAUUACACUCGCUGCCACAUCAACGCCAUAUCAUAAAUUAUAGAUUUUUGUUUUCUUUUCUUUAUUAAUUAAUUUUUCUUUUGUUAGCUAUAUUUUACUCUAAUUAAUCCCUAAUUAAUUAUUUUAAUUCUCUAAUAAUUAUAUCUUCAUCAUCACUAAAUUCCAUCCAUUUCAAUUGUCAUUUCAUCGGAACAAUCAUAUCCGGCCACCUUCACUAUUGAUUUUG